ensembl:lncRNA
AGAAGAACCACCUCCCUUGGGCUGGUUCCUGCAUGGGUGUAUGCCAGGGCCUGCAGCGAGGUCUAUUCUGGGAGAUCAGUGAGGCAGGCAGCACUGGCAAACAACAACAAUCAUGUGACGUUGUCACGCUAUCUCAAGCGGAGGGCAGAGGAGGGCAGUGAAGUGAACCUGAAGAGGGCAGCAGCCAUUUAUUUUGGGCUCACCCCUAAUGAGAAAAUUUGCCUUCGAGCUGGCAGUGCAUUUCAGCUGCCCAUUCCCUGCAUCCUGGUCGAGGAAGAGCAUGGCGGGGAAGGACUGGUUCAACUCCUUCAUGGAGCGCAGUGUCAGCCUCUCCCUUCGGUGUCCAGAGGCCACUAGCCAACAAACACAACUAUUUACAGGGGUCACCACUGUCCAGGUGCCAGACCGUGUCGUCGCCCAAAUGGGGCAGAGCAGGUCAGGUCAGUGACCUCAGCGGAAAGGGGGACCCUGGUCACAGUUGCGCUGGCAGGCAAUGCAACCUUCCCACCGAGUAGGGUCCAGCUGCAGCCCCGGAGAACAACACCCUGGCGUGACAACAACCCUGGCGCGACGGAAGUACUCUGGCGUGACGGAAGUGAUUUUUUUUUUUUUUAAAUGUACACACCGCUAAAUCGGAAACCAAAGAUGAACCAUGGAAUAUGCUUGGUACCUUGCCAUGGAGGCACCGUUUAACUUCACUGUUAAAGACAUGCAGUCCUCAGAAAAUUGUGGUGCACAGUACUGCUUGAGAACUUCCAACUGGAUGGGCACGGCAGAAGGUUCCCACACUUCAUGGAGGAGGCCAAACAAAUGGCGGUUGACUACUUCCACCAGUCUUCAGACUGAAGCGAAAAAGAGAAGUUGCAGCCAAUGGACAUUAGUGUCUUCGGCCCCCUAAAGGGGUACAUAAACAGUGCGGCGGACAGGUGGAUGAGGAGCCACCCAGGGAUAAACAUCUCAAUUUAUGAUGUGCCCUCCAUCGUUGCUGAAGCCUUACCAAAGGCUGCAACAGUGAACAACAUCACCUCCGGGUUCUCAAGUCCAGGGAUCUGGCCUUUUAACCCCUCUGCGUUUGAAGAAAAGGACUUCGCCAGAGCCUAUUCCACAGACCGUCCUCCUCCCCAGGCUUCGGGUGACGAGGUCAGUGCUUCUCCAGGUGCCACUUCAGGCAUGGAUGUACCUGAACGAGCUGCCGGGCCUGACGAAGCUGCCGGGCCUGACGAAGCUGUCCGGCCUGAGGGAGACGCCCUUGAAUUCAGCCCGGACAUCGUCCGGCCUUACCCUAAGGCCGGGCCUAGAAAGAUAACAAAGAGAAGAGGGAGAAAGAGUUUUCAGGACAACUGCUAGACACCCCCGGUGAGGGCUGCUUUAGAGGCGGAAAAGCAGGAAACUCUGAAGCAGCGUCGUCCCGCCAAGCAGCCUCCAUCCUCUCGGGCUCCCAAGAAGAGGCUCUUCUCGCCCGCUCCUGAAGCCGCCCCCCUUGCUGGAGUCACCCCUGGUGCCACCUCAGCUGCUCCUCCCACCAUCACCUGGCCCGCUGAUGGAGUCAGCCCCACCUUAGGCCUAGUUUGUCCUGUUCCGGAUGCAGUAGAGUUCACCACUAUUGCUGCCUCUACUUUUCCCAACUUAUUUAGGCCUAUCCAGCGAGGACGUCAGCUGCCUCGUGUGCUGCGAGCCUCGAUGCUGUGGAAGAGUGGGUCCAGUGUGUUUCAGUGGUCGCAUGAGGCUUGCACCAACGGGAGUACACACUACCUGUGUCACCUGUGUGACAAAGAAUACAAAUAUUUUGCCUACUAUACUGUCCAUGUGUCUUCACUAGUUUGCAGUGGAAAUACUGUAAAUGUAGGCCUACAGCACAAUUCACUUAACAUUAUAGACUGAUUAACUAACUAACUAUUAGGCCUGGGUUAGGCUAUGAGUGGGAGCUGGGCUAUUAAAUAUUUUGCAGGGUAGGCCUACUUUUUGUCCAUCCUGCGUUCACACCAAAAGAUGCAAAAAGUUGACGCUCGGCACGAUCCCAAUCAAAGUGAAUGUAGAGACGCGUUGCUGCUUUGCUGCCGCAGCAUUUGCUGCCGAGAAAACCGGCCGCAAAAUUUGAUUUGCG